rnacentral:tRNA from 2 species
GCGGAUGUGGCGGAAUUGGUAGACGCACCAGAUUUAGGUUCUGGCGCCGCGAGGCGUGGGGGUUCGAGUCCCUUCAUCCGCACCA